rnacentral:rRNA from 1 species
AUUGAACGCUGGCGGCAGGCCUAACACAUGCAAGUCGAACGAGUCGCGCACGUGUGAGUAAUGUAUGGGAAACUGCCCGAUGGAGGGGGAUAACUACUGGAAACGGAAGCUAAAACCGCAUACCAUCAGAUGUGCCCAGGUGGGAUUUGCUUGUUGGUGGGGUAACGGCACACCAAGGCCACGAUCCCUCGCUGGUCUGAGAGGAUGACCAGUCAAACUGGAACGGAGACACGGUCCAGACUCCUACGGGGGGCGGCAGUGGGGAAUUUUGGACAAUGGGCGAAAGCCUGAUGCAGCCAUGCCGCGUGUAUGAGGAAGGCCUUCGGGUUGUAAAGUACUUUCAGCGGGGAGGCGUUACCCGCAGAAGAAGCACCGGCUAACUCCGUGCCAGCCGCCGCGGUAAUAC